UACGUAGGGUGCAGGCGUUAAUCGGAAUUACUGGGCGUAAAGCGUGCGCAGGCGGUCUGCUAAGAGAGGUGUGAAAUCCCCGGGCUUAACCUGGGAACUGCGCUUCUAACUGGCAGGCUUGAGUGUGGCAGAGGGGGGGUAGAAUUCCACGUGUAGCAGUGAAAUGCGUAGAGAUGUGGAGGAAUACCGAUGGCGAAGGCAGCCCCCUGGGC
rnacentral:rRNA from 1 species